ACAGACAGUGGUGUUUGUGAAGGAGAUACAGGAGAAGAAGCUGGAGGAAGUAGAGAAGGAGAGACAGGAGGAGAUGGAGGAGCAGAGACUAGAGGGACUGUCCUGAUGAUUGCCAGUUUCAUCAUCAUUGGCAUCUGCCCUUGAGGAUACUUUCAAAGCUUGUGAUAUGUUUCAGAUUGACUUACCUUCAUUUCUUUAAGUCAUUUUUUUUUAGUUCUUGCCCUCAUCUGGAUUAGAACAUUACUCAAAUAUUCACUAUUCACUGUAUACCUGUAACUCUACCUCUUCACUACUUUACAACUGAUGCUCUCAAACACUUUAUUAAGAGACAAGAAAUCCAAGUAACUAACUCUUGACGAUUUCAGCACAGCUGUUAACUGACAGCUGAUCAUUCCAGGUGACACUACCUCGUAAAGCUGACUGAGAAAAUCCAGCCAAGAUGUGCAAAACUGUAUAAUAUAACAAAGAGGUGCUACUUUAAAGAAUGUAAAAUAUUCUAAAAAUAAAACAUUCUGAUUUGUUUUAACACUUUUUCAUUUCCUAAAUUAUUCCAUAUGUUUUUCUUUAUAGUUUGGAUUACUUUAGUAUUAAUAUACAAUGUAUAACAUUUUAAUAUAAUGGACAAAAAACACUGAAUUCAUGUGUGUUCUAUAUGUUACAGUACGUUACAUAUAUGUUACAUAUAUUUGCACAUUCAUUACACUCUUGCACUAUGUUGUCUAUUGUGUUGUUUUCCAUGUUGCACAAUGGAUCCGAACGAAUGUAAUUUCGGUAAACUGCGUACCUAUACUCAGAUGUAAUGAAAAUAAACAACUCUUUUCUUAACUUGAAA